rnacentral:tRNA from 1 species
GGUUAGAUGACCGAGUGGUUUAAGGUAGUGCACUGCUAACGCACCGUAGAUUAAAAAUCUACCGUAAGUUCAAAUCUUACUCUAACCG